UUGUGGUUCUAUGUUAUACUCUACUGGUUCACACCUCUAAAGGGACUCAGAAAUCCAUGGAGAGGCUGGCCCUUCUCCUUGUCACCCUCUCUUCCCCUUCUCUGAGCUGGUGGGGGCCCUCCUGGGUAUUCCCCCAACCCUGACACUUCAAAUCUCUUCGAUGCUAGGUGCUUCCUUUCCCACUGAGGUCAGACAAGACAGCCCAGCUAUAAAAACUAAUUUUUAUUAGUUCAUGUUCUCAGUGGGAUGCUUUUUAAGAUACUGCUAAUUAAAUUAAUAUUAAAAGCGGAAUUUUUGAGACAUUUGGAUACUAGGAUAAAAAAUUUCAGCCUUCUUAACCAAAAAUUGCGAUAGCAUUAGUCAUUUUGAAGAAAAUUUUGUUCUAAUUAAACUUGCCUCCCAUCCUGUUGCCAUUAAACCAAAAACAAAACAAUUAGUGCUAGAUAACAUUUUUGUAUAAUUUAUUACUAAACUAAAAUUUCUUAUUCCCAGGAGUAAUCUUAGUAUCUUCAUAGUGAAUCUGAUUGAACCUGUAACAUUUAGAGAUUUACUUCCCUAACAAAUGAGAACUUGAAGAAAGAAGACAAUUGGAGACCUUUAUGCCCAGACAUUCAAAAUUAAAGCCUGGAGUCAAGGUGAAGAUUUGAGUUUAGAAUGCUUAAGCACUUUGGAGUUCUGUGAUAGAGUACUAUGUCUGGGGAGAUAGAAGCGGCCUUUUACCCCAGCCCUGGCUUGAUUCCUGAACCAUCUGAGUCCUCAAGUACAUAAAAUGAAACACGUUAGCCUGUACCCAAGUUCAGUGCCCACCUUUGCAGACAUGCUCCAUGUGUACACACCAGCAGAAUGUUGAUUCUUAAAAGCACAUGAGAUGGAUUUUCAAGAUCCUGGUGGAAUUCUUCAAUCCUAGGAACCCAGGCAUGGUCUAAAAGAGAUGUAGAAGUCAAAGAGGAGCCAGAACAGGGCCUUCAGAAACACUGCAUUUGCUUGAUCCCCUGAAUAUUUUACACCAUAAAAUAUUGGAAGACA
rnacentral:lncRNA from 1 species